ACUUAGUGGCGGACGGGUGAGUAACGCGUGGAUAACCUGCCUUACACUGGGGGAUAACACUUAGAAAUAGGUGCUAAUACCGCAUAAGCGCACAGAGCCGCAUGGCUCAGUGUGAAAAACUCCGGUGGUGUAAGAUGGAUCCGCGUCUGAUUAGCUAGUUGGCGGGGUAGAAGCCCACCAAGGCGACGAUCAGUAGCCGGCCUGAGAGGGUGAACGGCCACAUUGGGACUGAGACACGGCCCAAACUCCUACGGGAGGCAGCAGUGGGGAAUAUUGCACAAUGGGGGAAACCCUGAUGCAGCAACGCCGCGUGAGUGAAGAAGUCAUUCGUGAUGUAAAGCUCUAUCAGCAGGGAAGAAAAUGACGGUACCUGAGUAAGAAGCCCCGGCUAACUACGUGCCAGCAGCCGCGGUAAUACGUAGGGGGCAAGCGUUAUCCGGAUUUACUGGGUGUAAAGGGAGCGUAGACGGCCAGACAAGUCUGAAGUGAAAAUCCAGCGCUUAACGUUGGAAGUGCUUUGGAAACUGCCGGGCUAGAGUGCAGGAGGGGCAGGCGGAAUUCCUAGUGUAGCGGUGAAAUGCGUAGAUAUUAGGAGGAACACCAGUGGCGAAGGCGGCCUGCUGGACUGCAACUGACGUUGAGGCUCGAAGGCGUGGGGAGCAAACAGGAUUAGAUACCCUGGUAGUCCACGCGGUAAACGAUGAUUACUAGGUGUCGGGGGGCUAGAGCCCUUCGGUGCCG
rnacentral:rRNA from 1 species